rnacentral:rRNA from 1 species
AGUGAACGCUGGCGGUAGGCCUAACACAUGCAAGUCGAACGGCAGCACAGUAAGAGCUUGCUCUUACGGGUGGCGAGUGGCGGACGGGUGAGGAAUACAUCGGAAUCUACUUUUUCGUGGGGGAUAACGUAGGGAAACUUACGCUAAUACCGCAUACGACCUACGGGUGAAAGCAGGGGAUCUUCGGACCUUGCGCGAUUGAAUGAGCCGAUGUCGGAUUAGCUAGUUGGCGGGGUAAAGGCCCACCAAGGCGACGAUCCGUAGCUGGUCUGAGGGGAUGAUCAGCCCAACGGGACCGAGGCCAGGUCCCAACUCCUACGGGGGGGAAGAGGGGGGAAUUUUGGGCAAUGGGGGGAAGCCCGAACCCACCCAGCCCGGGGGGGGAAAAAGGGCUUUGGGGUGUAAAACCCUUUUUUUUGGGAAAAAAAAGCAGGAGGUUAACUCCCCGCUUUUUGGGGGUAACCAAAAAAAAAACCACGGCUAACUUCGGG